rnacentral:rRNA from 1 species
UAAAGUGGCGUACGGGUGAGUAACACGUGGAUCAUCUACCUCUUGGUGGGGAAUAACCCUGGGAAACCGGGGCUAAUACCGCAUAAGCCUGCAAAGGGAAAGCAGUAAUGUGCCGAGAGAGGAGUCCGCGGCCGAUUAGCUAGUUGGUAGGGUAAUGGCCUACCAAGGCAAUGAUCGGUAGCCGGCCUGAGAGGGCACACGGCCACACUGGCACUGAAACACGGGCCAG